CAAUCACAGCCUUGCAGGCUGCGCGGCUCACGUAAAAGCUUACGUAAAAAAUGAUGCAAGUCUAGAAAGAUCGCCCGACGCACGCAAGACGUGAGAAGUCGCGCAAGGGGUGCGCAAGGGCGCGCAAGGGCCUCUUGCGCUUGCGCCUACGCUUACGUAACUGAGCAUAAAUCGGCCUUAACUCGGGUUGUCGUAAGCUAAGAACAUUAGCUUACGUUAGUAACUUUACAUUAAUUUGGUUGUCGUAAGCAUCAACAUUAGCUUACGUUAGUAACUUUACAUUAAUUUGGUAGUAACGUUAUAUGUUAUAACAGCUUCUAAGUAAUAUUACUGUGCACACUGUAAGAGCCAUCCUUCAGUGAAAAGAAAUCAUGAAUACCAUCAGCCUCUUUCCCGGAAAGAUGACGGUGACAUUUAGGAAGGGACCAUCGGGUCAUCUGCGGCAGGACCCAUCCUCUGAGGCCACGAGGAUAAAACACAAUCCUGGGCUUCAGGUCAAGAUUCCCAGAAACAUGACCUAGUGAAGACCAGUGCUCGCACUGUGGUCUUCCAGCGAGGAGGGGAUGUGUCGGACCGACAGGAGGUGAUGGGAGAGUACCUGCUGCAGUUCGGAAAGUACCAGAGAAAAUCUUUCAAGUGGCUCCUAGAGAACGAUGUUGGCUACACCAUGUACCUUAUGAAAAAGGUAGAUGAGGAGGAGAGAGCCGGGACCUUCAACCCAAAGGGACACAGUAAGGACACCUGCUGUCUUUUCUGGACUAUGCCAGGAGCUUCCAGGAAAUCCAGGACCUGAGGAACUACCUGAUCUCCAGGAAGCCUACUGAACCAGUGGCGUCAGAGCGGGACAAUAUUGUCGGCUUGGGUUGCAGGGCCAAAAAUGGAGUUCCAGCAGUCUGACUUUUUUGAGGCAGAAAGAGGCCGAUGGGUUUCAGAAAAGAGGAGUUGAGGAG
ensembl:lncRNA